UUGUGGGACGCUACGGCAGCCCCAGGAAGCCCAAGCAGGGGGUAUCGGGAUCCUGCAGGAGGGAGGUCUGUCCCCAGGCAAGGGAGCCAGGGGGUCCUCCCUUGCCCGAGGAUCCCUGGUAGCACCGAUGGGGACAGGAGGGAGACCCCAGAGACACAGGAGCCAGAUGGCCGGGCCAGGCUGCAGCUACACGGGCAGGAGGCAGGUGGGGCGGGGGCUCUGGCUGGGAAAGUGUGUGUGUCGUCAGGGCCGUGUGUCCUCAGGUGGGCCAGGUCACAGAGGCAGAGGUGGGAGGGCAGAGCGGGCUGCACGGCUGCCAGGCAGGCAGGCAGCCCUGGCCCUCGACUGGCCACUGCUGUGAGGGAGCCGGGGGUGAUUCUCUCGGCUUCCGGUCAGUUCCAGCCUUACUGAGCCGAGGGGCCCAUGCUCUGCAGGCCACCUUCCGACCCCUCCCUGGUGGCCACACUCCCUGUGCACCAGCAGAGUGGAUGGAGCCUGAGACUGUGGGCGGCCUCUGCAACACAGAAACUCUCCCUCUUCCUCCCGUGUAGACGUGGAGCGGCUGGCAGAAUGAGCUCAUGCAAUCUGGAAGCGCAGCCUCCCUCGUGUCUCCAGGACACGCUACGUCUCCAAGGACUCACCGUCGCAACUCAGAUGCUUGAGAGAGGAAAGGCUGCCGAGAGCCCGGUGUCCAGAGGCAGCCCCUUACCCGUCCCAUCCCCGGGGCAGGCAUAGAGGUAGGCAAUGGCUGAGUGCACCCGCAGGGAGUGACGGGAGGUGUCGGCAUUUCUCCCUGCCGAUGGGCUCCGGGGGACGGAAGGGGAGACAGACCAGGAGGUGGUCCCAGCAACGCCUGGGUCACUUUCCCCACAGCCGCCCCACAGGGUCCAGGGAGCUUAGUGCCGGAACAGACACCUGAGGGGGAGGAGGAGAAGGCUCCCACCUCACUCCCCCCAGGACCUCCCUCCUGGAGCGUCUGUGCAGGGGACAGGCAGCCCACCUCUCAGUACUGCUGCAUCAGGGACUAAGUUUCAACAUGAGCUUUAGAGGGGACAUUCAGACCCUGGCAGGGGUGGCAGGCAUGGAGGAGCCCAGGGGGCCCCGGGCCAGCAGGGCGGGAUGCUAGACUGCAAGAGGCAGGGCUGUGUGACUCCCGAGGGUUCUGGUCCUCACCCCAAGGCUGCAGGGAGACCUGCAGCUUUACAUCUGCAGCUUUACGGGGACCUGUCAAGAAGCCCCAAGGAAGCUCGGCCUGGAUCAGGGAGCCAGGAGGAGGCUGUUAGUAAGGACAGCAGCAGCUGUGACCAUGGCAUACACACCCGACACAGAGCUUACCGUGGCUGGGCCCUGCUCUGAGCAAUUCCCCUGGAAUAAAGCUUUGAAUCCUCACAACAAGCCUGCAAAUGGGCAUUUACAAAAUGAGGAAACUGAGGCACGGAGAAGUUAGGCGAAGGGCUCACGUUUACACAGCCAGAAAGUGGCCAGGCUUGAUCUCAGGCAGGCUGAUGCAGGGGCCGAGGGCUCACCCACCACACCACAGGUUAGGUCCCUGCAGCCUCCAAACCAGCACCGGAGCCCAUCGGCAGCACCGUGGAUUUCCUACCUUACAGUUCUUGAAGCCCAAAGUCCUAAAGCAAGGUGUUAGCCGAGCUGCUGAUACGGUUUGGACGUUUGGCCCCUCCAAAUUUCAAGCUGAGAUGUGAUGGCAGUGUUGGAGGUGGUCACGGGGGUGGAGCCCUUAGUGAGGGCUCGGUGCCGUCCUGGGAGUGAGUAGUUCUGGCUGUGCUAGCUCACGUGACAGCUGGGGGUUUGAAGGAGCCUGGCACCUCCUCCUCCCUUGCUCCUGCCGCGUGACACGCCUGCUGCCCUUCAUGUUCUGCCUCCACUGGGAGCUCCCUGAAGCCCUCACCAGAAGCAGAUGCUGGCGCCGUGCUUCUCGUACAGUCUGCAGAACCGUGAGCCAAACAAACCUCUUUUCCUUAUAAAUUACUCAGCUUCAGGCAUUCCUUUAUAGCAGCGCAAACAGACUAACACAGCUGUGUUCCCUCUGGGGGUGCUGGGGAAAAAUCCCUUCCCGCCUGUACAGCUUCCAGAGGCCUCUGCCUUCCCUGGCCGGUGGGCCCUUCCUCCGCCUCUAAAGCCGCUGCCAUCAUCUUGUCUCCUUCUGUGGCUCUGACCCUCCUGCCUUCCCCUCACGUGGACCCUGGUGGCUACGUGGCCACUGGAGAGUCCAGGAGCAGCUCCCCACCCCAGGGUCAUUGUCCCUUCUGCCAUGGGCAGGUCUGGGGCUCAGGACUCAGGCAUGUCUAGGGGGCCACUGUUCCCUCCUCUACCGACAGGACUAGUGGAUUCACAGUCUGGAGGCAGCAAGGAGAGGAUUCUGGUUGAGUUUUAAGCCUCGACUAGCCGGAGAUGCCACUUGAAGAGAAGGGGGUGUGACAUCGGGGAGGGUUUGGUGUUGGACACAUGGCAUUUGGCCUGGAGACGUCUCGGCGUGUAAGAUGAGGGCACCCACGAUGCCAUCCAGGCCUGGAUGGGUGACCUGAGGUCAUGAGCACAAAGCUGACCUGGAGGUGGUGCAGCCUGGCCGUGGGGCCGCUGCCUGUGCCCUUCGACAGGAGAAUGGCCUUGAGCCCCGGUACUCUCCUCUUUGAGAGUCAUGGACCUCUGCUCUGACCAGGGCGGAGUAACAGGGCCUGGAUUUAGCCUCCUGCCUGAAACAACUGGAAAACUGACAGAACAUAGAAUCAGUGGUUCCUAAGACUUUGAAAACCAAGCAGUGAAGGACAGAGAACCUCGAGGGAUGAGAAAAUGGGGUCAAGACAGCGCCCAUCAUCUAGCCUAGCUGGACUACGAAACGAGACACUUUAUGGCAUAUAGAGGAGUCACAGUGCUUCCUGGGGCUGCGCUAGGGAGACUCGAACCCCCCAUCCUGCCUCUGAGGACACGCAGAGGACACUGGUGCUGCAGCACUAUUUGUGAAAUAAAAGCCUGAAUCACUGAAGCUGCUCAAACAUCCUGUGGCCCAGGCUGGCUGGCUGGCUGGCUGAGGACAUGGGACACUGUGCCGCCGUCUACACUGCCGUCUACACGACAGGCGUGGAGGGCUGUGCAGGGCACGUCCAGUGGAAAAGGAGGGAUGUGAAGAGGAAAACAAGGUUGAACAACUUGAGGUCUGGCUGCCGGUGAGCCCACGCCAUCCUCGGGUCCCCACACACCUCCUUUGCUGGGGGUGCUGGGAGGAUGGGGUGUGACCUUGCAGCACCAAAGGGGCCAGGCUGGCAGCUUGCAGGUCUAGGCCCGGGGGACACUGUUUUGCUGCAGUGGGCAGUCGGCUGGGCAGUGGGAGCCACAGGUACACAGAUGGCUGGCUCACGCCUGGCCCGGAGCUCUGCUUUUGUUAACAGGCCUCCUGUCCGGUCCAGAUGAACUCCCCAGAAACAGCCAAACCAGCCCAAACCUGCAUAGAACAAGCAAAGCGCAGCCAGCGCCCGCCUGGGGGGCGGCCUGCCUAGAGUCCACUCUGGCUCGCUGGUCUCCCCUCCCCGGUGUCCUCGGGCCACCCACGCCACAUUCGAUAGGAGGGAAUGAUGUGUUGGCAGGGGAGGCAGGGAAGAUGGAUUCCUACCCAUGGACAGAGGAGAGUGUGGAUUUGCAGGAGCAGCAGCACGAAGCACGACCCCAUCUCUGCCGGCAUCCACGACUCCCCCGGAAAGUGUGCUGACCCCUGUCUAGGGGUAUGUGAUAAGAGGAUGAACCUCCAGUUUCUGCCCUUGUCUUGCUGGGACCAAAAGCUGUAAUAGUGGCCAAAGCACGAGCUGCAAAAGAAACGCCACCAGCACCUGACACUCUGGAGGACAAGUGUGGUGCAUGACAAAAAUCGUCGGGACGCCAGCUCACAGGCAGCCACAGUGUCCUCAUCCCCACUCAAAGGCCAUGGCUGGUAAGUCACACAGGUGUGGAUAUGUCCAGAUUUGUAGAAAAGUUUUUCUUGUGCAUGAUUCUCACAGUGGUAUUUUUUGGUAUUCAUCUCAGAUUCCCCCAGUACUUUUUUUUUAUCUCCUUAUAAGGCAUGUAAUUAAAUUCAUAACUUUCUGAAAAUGCUGAAAAUCGGCCCAGGGGCUCCUCCACGCAGGCGGCACAUGUCCCUCGGCGAGUGCCGGGCUGGGGGCGGCACAGCCCACACACUGCUGAUGACCCCACAGCCUGGGAACCGCGGGCCUGGGGCAGCAGAGUCCUCUUUCGGUUUCUUCAGCUUCUCCCCAGCACUUCCUCCCACUUAGAGUGUCUGUCUGCCUGUCUGUCCGUCCUGUGGCAGAGAUAAGAUCCAGCCAACGAGGGGAGCUGAACUUGAGACAAACGGCAGGUGGUGAUGCAUUUUAAAGAUGCCUGGAAGCUUCCACGAGGAGCUCUCCUCAUUUACUUCUCAGACACGAAGACACUUGAGAAAUGUUCUCUUUUGAUGUUCUCUCUGCUGAAUUUCAAACACUUCCCUUUCCAUUGAUUUAAAGGGCAUUUUCCUGGUCUCCAGGGGUUGCUUAUUUGGAGGUGAUCUGUCAGCUGUCAGGCUCUCCAGCCAGGGCUGCGGAAGGAGUUUGUUCUGGCUGGACGGGGAGUCAGCCUGCAUCGGACCCCGCUGCAGGGCCGGCUGGGAGCCCCCAGCACUCCGUCUGCUGAACCAGAAGGUGCCACCAGCAGCACAGACGCAGCCAUUGGAGCAAUGCUGGCCUCAGUUUGAAGGUUAUGAAAAACUCACUCCAGGCUCCAAAACGUGUGAUCUAAAUCCAGGGUCAUUUCCUUUGAAAUGUUUCCUCCAACCAGGCUCAGCUGUUGCGCUCUAUUUCGUGGCUUUGUUCAUCUGCUCCCUCGUAAGUGCUACUCAAAGAACAGACCGGUGCCCGUUCCUUCCCGCAGCCCUCCGUGGGGCGCCCUGGCUACGCCGGGGCGGGCUUCCUACACCCCAGUGUCUGUGUCCCGCCUGGCAGGGCCCAGAGGAGGACGGAGGAGCAGAGAGCAGCGAGCACAAGGCCUUUCAUUCAUUGCCCGCUGGACACAUUCCGAACACCACCUGCCACGUGUCUCCACUCGGAACGUCAUUGAAUAGAAAUAACAACGAUGAUAAUGCCAGCGGCUGGGUGAAAACAAUUCCCUUCUGCCCCAGAGGAUCAGAGCUGGAGUGUCCCACUUCGUCCCCCUGUGACUCUGCUGGGUGGUAUUAAAAACUGCAUUUUCAAAAUUGGGAUAUACAGGCGCCAGCUGGUUGGUGAACACACAUCCAGAACAGACGGGGCUGUGAUUUGAUUGACGGCGGAGAUUUCCAGCUCCCUGUUCUCAUCUGGUGGCCACUGCAGCUCCUGGUCCCUCAUCAGUGCUGUGGGUCACUGAGUGCCGGGCAGCCACCAGCACGUCCCCCCAACAGGCUGCUCACACCCCCUUAUGGUGGAGAACGAGGGUAUGAGAGGCGACCCACCCUUCUCUCUCAAGCUUUAACAAUCCAAGCCAAGGUGGGUGCCAAAGUGAGAGCAAAUAAACAUCCACUGAAGACAGGUGGUUUCCACAGACGGCAGGAGAAAGAGAGCACCUGCCUCCAGGUGGGUCGUCCCCAGCGUUCCAUGGACAGCUUACGUCCCUGACAUCCCUGCAAUAGGCAGGUGAGCUGCCAACGAAGGACCCUCCUGGGAAGAGAAGCAGUUUGGUUAUAUCUGGUUGACUCAUCUUUGCUUCUGGGACAAGCAGCUCUUGGAUUCUCAGCGGGCUUGUCUCCUCCUGCUCCAGGCAGUGAGCGAUUGCUGUGACAGUCCAGAAUGGACCAAUUCGUAGGUUCUCAACAUACAGAUCCAUCUCUGCACACAUGAAACCAACCCACCAGCGGAGAUGGUGGCUUGCCAGAGUGGACACACAUGGUGACCAGCAGUCACUGUGCUGGCAGGACACAAAUGGCUGCAGCAGCUCUGUGAUUCAGUCCUGGGGCAAAACUUAUCGUCCUGGGAAGCUGCCAUCGUCUUCCCCAUAAGCUCCAGUCAGUCACAUUGCAAAGGUGGCCCUGGCAGAUGGUGGCACUGGUGCCAUCCCAACCUAAAGGCUUCUCACUGGCCACCAACAUCUUCAUGCACCCACUGGACACCCUCACCUGCCAGCACCUGCCCCUGACGGCAGCUCCUGCGCCAGCCGGUUAGGAACAGCCACAGUUUCCCACCUUGUCACUCUCUACGUUGGUGCAGAUCACCUGGCCCACUGGCCUCUGUGCUGCAGGGAAGCCAGGGGCCCCGCUCUCCCCUCUGUGGGCUGCAGCACCGCCUUGCCAGGUGCGGGGACCUUGGCCGAGAAGCCACAUGUCCUGGGGAGGCCAAGGAAACAAUGAAUGUCAAAGGAUGUUCUCUCCUUCCCCCCCAGCCAGAAUGCUAGAAUGUUCUGUGCUGGCUACCAACGGUGAGGGGUGGGGUGUAGUGGGGUGGCCAGUGCCUCCUGGGACUCUGCAGAGGGGUGCACCCUCCCCACAGAUGCUCGUCUGGAAGUAAGAGGGCUCCAUACGUGUCGAGAGGUCCCCGAUCUGUCGGUCAGGUGGGUGCCCCCUACCCACAGACAGGCGCACACACAACCAAUGCGCCCAAGAACUACGCUGCUGACUUUUUUUUUUUUUUUUGGAUACAGAAAAUGUUUCCAACUUCCAUAAAAAAUGGAAGCAAAAUGUUAGCACUGACAUUUUCAAAGUUUUGAUGAGUUUCUCCUUUACCCUGAGGACCGUCUCUGGUUCCUGGACAGGAAGGCCCCAUCGCAGGUGUGCCCAUCCCACGCUGUCGCCACCGGCCCUGGAUGCUCCUGGGAUGGCAAGGACAGGCUGGUGCCGCUGCUGGCUGUGCGACUCUGCCCUGCCACCUCUCGGCUUAGCCAUGCUCUGCCUACGACUUCGACCGACUUCACUAGCUUAGCUGUGAUGUCCCUCCACAACCACUUUCCAGCCACAGAACCAUCUAGAAAUGUAAGAAGAACUGAAGAGUUCCUCCUAGUCACCGUUUAAACGGUUCCAUGGAAUGUCCUCUUGGACUAGCAUGAGCUGUAGCAUCCUGGCAGCACCUGAGCGUGGGGCCCGGGCUAGGUAAGGAGCGCCCCUCCCUCCCCAGGCCACGUGAGCCACGAGCUCCUGUGGCAGCCACAGCCAGCCCGGGAUGUGGGUGAUGGGUCCAGGCUGGGCCAGAGCACAGUUACCCCAAACCACUGGGUCUGACCCAGAGGACUUUAAACUGAAUGUAUGCAAGAGGAAGUUUUUGUUUGUUUGUUUUCAAGAAAUAAGAUGAGGGAGGAGAGCAGACACAACACAAAAAGAAGAGCAGUGUGGUGGAAGGUGCCCAGCAGUUUCCAGGAAAAAUAAUAGGAAGUAGCUGUCCAGCCCUGGAACCUCUGCCCUGACCCCGAGCAGGGUAAGAACCCUCUCAGCAUGGAGUGACGGGGCCUGACUGCCAUGAGAGGGAGGCAACCUGUCCCGAAACCCACAUCAUUGCGGAAAUCCAGGAAGCCAAGGGUGCCAGCUGGGGGCCAGGGCUCACAGUUUAAAAAGAAGGCAACAAAUGACUCUUUUCAGAGAUGGGCCAUUCAGACGACAAAUACUGAUUGGGGAAACCUACCACGCCCCGGCUCUGAACAAAGACCCCGUUCUGAAGGAGCUGCUAUUUCAGUGUGGACCGAAGCACGCGGGGAUCUUUGCACAGAGCCAAUUCCGGCAUAAAAGGUGUGGGUGGUGCCCUCGUUCCUGCAUUUCUACAAGCUCCCAGGAGGGACACAGACGGGAGGCUGUUCCUGAAGACCCCACUCCAGCAGCAAGCUUCUAAAACAGUGCUAGCAGGCUCAGCUUCACAACAGAAGUGCCCUCCUUGGGAACCCCCCAGGGCAGCAGACACGUGUGUCCUGGAGACUCCUGCUGGCCUCUGCCUUCACUUGCUGCUCCCAGCCCAUGCUGGUCAUUGGCCUGUUGGGUCUUAGAGCCUCACAAACUCAGGAAUGGGUGAGGAAUGGCCUUUAUUUGCCUGAAAUUCCCAUUGGAAGAAACCUUGGGAGCUUCUGCCUCACUGAGCUAGGCAGGCAAAGACAGCUAGGAUGUGCUUUGAUCGACAUUUCUUUAGGAGAUUAAGUCCUCGGUAGGGUGGUAGAGAAGGAAGGAUUCCCUUCAACCCUGCCCCCUGACUUUCCUCGUAGACCGCCCGCAUCCCAGAGGUUGUGUGUGGCAAACACCUACUGCCUUUGAGGAGAAAGUCUACCAAAACCAGAGCGCCUGCUGGUCAGAACCAAGUGGCCUGGUGACAACCCCUGGCCAAGCACAUCUGAGAUCCACCUUCAUCCCCACACAUGCUCAUCCUACCCUUAUUACAACAACCGUCUGAGGCCACAGCAACAUGGCCAUUUUACAGAUGAAGAGACUGAGGGUCAGAGAGGUUCAGUGACGUGUUCUAAGUCACACCAUGAACAAGCAGCACGAUGGCCACUGCCCGCAGGUUUUCUGCUACAUCUCAUCAGAUCUCAUCACUGCAGGGCACAGAGGGCCUUCUCAUCUUGCUACAUCUCUGGGUUAAAAUGAUGACUGCAUUCACCGAGAACCACCUCAUUUCUCAGCUGGGUCCAAGAGCGGAUGUGAAAAACUGCAAUGACUGAAACCCUAAUGGCAACCCAAUACACUUUCCCUGAAGUGGCGUAUUUAAGAAGAGGUGAACUCAUGAACCGUGUUGCAAAUUUAGCAAUAAGAAAUACAAACGAACAAUAGAGAGUUUCAACCACACACCCAUUCCCUUCUACAUAUGAAAGGGUCUAUGGAAGCAUGCAUUUGCCCUCCUGAGUUUGUUUUUUGUCCCCUGAUGAAGCUGCAAUCCCAACACCCAGUCUAUUUAGGCCUGGCCAGCCCCAGGCGUCUGAGUACCCAGAGGCUGCUCCUUGCUCCCCCUCCCACAUUCAGGCUCUGUCCCCAGCGUGGUGGUUGUCCCUCCCCUGAAAGCUGGGGUUAUCUCAGACGAGCUCCCCUGCCCUGCACAGUUUAUGGAAACUCACUCUCCGAAUGAUGGUUUUCAUCCACACCGAAUGAAACCUGAGACUAUUCCAAAUUGCUUCUUUUAAGAGCAGGCGUCCUCAAUCUAUGGCCCGCCGAGGACGUUUAUCCAGCCUGUCGGGUGUUUUUGCCACCGCUGCCUGUCCUGCUUAGCAGCGGACUCGUCCCAGGCCCACAGUG